CACCUCUCAUUUCACCCUUAUCCCUGUCUCUAAACCGAACCCUAGCCGCCCCCAAAUCCCUCGUCGGCUCCGUUGUGCUCCGCCGCCGGAAAUCGCCCCACGGCGGCGUCGACACCCCAAACCCUACCAAAAUUACACCCUACAACCAUCUUUCCCUCCCCUUUCCAAAUCCCUAAACCAUUUCCCUCGAAUCUUCAUAAAACGGCUCGAAUUUUAGAUCUAAAUCGGAACCUAAAAACCCUAAAUCACCCAAUCGACCCCAAGUUCACACCCUAUAUCACCAGGCCUCCCUAAACCCAAAACCCCCAACAAUUUCCCCAAAUGACCCUCGGAACUCGUCGAAUCUCGGAUCUAGGGUUCGACCUAGUUUCAGCGUUUUGGGAUUUUUUUGAAGUUUCUGCUCGUUUUGGCUGGAAGUUUGCCCAAAUAGGUUACUCUUGACCGGAGUAGCCAUUUGGGUCAACUUCGAGCCUUUCGAAGCAUCUUGAAGCCUGGCCAGUCUUCCGCCUUGUUUUCUUGGUCGUUUUGCUAAAUUCAAUCGGUAUGUAUUGCUGAACAUCUUAUUGGCCAUUGAGUCAUAUACAUGAAGCCUUGGAUCAUUUGCUGCUAUUAUUCCCAAAUGUCACAUGAAAUGUGGAUUAACAUAUAGAUUCUGAUUUUGUUUUGUCUUGUUAUUCUGUUUUUCUUUCUUCUUCUAUAUCUUCUUUUCAACAUGUUAGAGUUUAGCUUAAAAAUGUAUGUACUAGUUACACUACGUCGUGUAUGAUUUCAUUCUGUGAAGACUUUUUGAGGUUUAGCUUAAUAGCAUGGUUCCUUUCCAAGUAA